AAUAGUGAUUAAAAGGAAAGGUGGAAGAGAGGAGCCUGAAUGCAAAGGGAAGGUAUAAUGCCAAUAAGGUGAUUGAAAAAGUGGGGCUGGAUAUGGCUGUAGUAUCCUUAUGGGUUCAUGUCUGGUGUCAACAGGAGGGGACAGAAAUUACUUAAGCCCACAGGUUGUCCUGAGUCAUGACAACUUUUAAUGUAUGGCUAAAUAUGCCAUACAUUACAUACAGUUUCUUUACACAAAAGAUGUGUUUCAGGGUUUGAAAUACAAAAUGCACUUCUGACAUGAUUCGUGGAAGUAAUGGGCAUCAGAUCACCUUCAGAGGAAAAGCAGAUGCUGGGUGUAGAGAGACACCCACAUCCAGACCUGGUUUUGGAGUUAAAAUGUUGGAUGCUGCUGUUUAUUUCACUGAUGCAGCACACAGAAGUUUCCUUUAACUCGUAUUGUUGUUUUGUAUCAGAACACAUUUCAGAGAGAGAAGAGAGUCUAUAUAGCUUGCCUGAAUCUCUUGAGGAGUUUAGCAAGCACAGUCCUUUUCCAAAGCAGCAGGCAAGAGAGGAGUAGGCAUGUAAACUAUGCCUGUCUCUUGGAGAAGAGAUGCCACUUCUGCUGGAUUUAGCAGAAUUUUCUUGCUUUGCUUUGCAGGAUGAAGCCAAACUCAUAACUGCCAUGUGCUGGUGUUAUCUUGGUGUUUAUACUGUGGAUCAAAAGUGCUGUUAUGUUUAUCCCUAGCCAUCUGGGAAAGAGCAUCCUUAUUGUGCACUUUUUCAGUUAGUGAUGUUUAAAUAUACAAGCAGCUGAUUAACACAAUGAAAGGGAAAGACUGAGUCCAAGUCUAAGGGAGGCUAAGCUGGUCUUUCCUAAUUUUAAAGAUACAGCUGAUCUCUGUGUGUGCAAACCUUUCUGAUACUGGCAGCAGUGUGAAAGCUGCUGAGGUUCAGGUGGGAGGCUUUGAACAGGAAUUGGUGCCUGUACUUCAGCUGAGUUCACACCAGGGGGGUUUAUUCUGCUCCUCGUCUAUUUUCUGUAGUGCUAAUGGCUACAUUUGCUUAAUGUGUUCAUCACAGGCAUUUGGUAAGAGCCAAGUCCAUAUUCAGAAUAAGGUUUAAAACAUAAUAAUAAUAAAAAAUAUAUAAGAAAUUAACUGCAUUCAUUAAUGCAGUGUCAGCUAAAUCCCAACAAAUAAAACCAUCCUCCACAAAAAGUGAAAUCUUUCCGCUUUAUCCAAGUAGGUCUUUAGGCAAAGAGACCUAAAUAUGAGCCUUGGAGCGCAGUGGUUAUCCCAAGAUUUUGUUAUUGGAUCAACAGUGUUGUGUGAAGUCCAAGGCUGAGAACUCUUCACAGGAAACAACUUGUAGGACAGACCUGGAUGAAGCAAUCUCCAGAUCGGUAUCGCCCAGCCUUGCCAAUGCUUGCACGUGUACUGUCAGUCAUGCAUGAGGGGAGUGUGCGUUGUUGGAGAGGACAGUGUGUUAACUCGGGGCUGGACCAGGAGAACCUGCCAUGGCUGUCUGUCCAUGCAAAGCUGGCUGAGGAGGUCUGAGUCUGGCUAUUAAUAUUUUGCUGGUUGACCCAAGAUGGUUUGGAGGAGUAAGUCACUCCUGAAAGCUUGUAUUGCUUUGGAAGUGGUUUGUAGCAAAGCAAGCCCUUUGGUGUACUCCUCACCUGAGACUUUGAGCUGAUAGGCACCAAGGGAAGCAUUGUGCUCCACCUCUGGAAUAGACUGAAAAUGAAGAAUUAUUUUUUGUGUCAUUUAUGAAGUUGUCUUUUUCUAUGUAGAUAAAAGCAGUGACUGUGCACUGGGUGGAGGUUACACUGAGCAUAGCUGAUUAUAAUCCUCAUAGGGCAUAAGAAAGACUGGGUUUGGCAAGCCAUGUUCAGAUUUCAGCUGGGAUUAACCCUGCAGUCCUGCUGCUUUGCAAACAUUCUCCCUUCAGGUGCAGUUAACACCAUGAGAUGCCUUCUGCUUGGAGAAAUGCCUCCUGCUUGCUGUGGGCUGGUAUGCCAAGGUCCUGUCCCCAGUCUCCUCUGAAUCAAUUAGGAAAAGCAUAAAACAGGUCCCAGGACUUCAUUUGUCAUUUCAAAACAGAGUGGAUCUCCCUUGUAUCUCUGUCCCUAUCCUUCUCAUGGUUGCGAUAAACAAUGCGUCAUUUUGUUUAUGGAGCGUGUAUUAGGGAAUGAAUUGAGUUUAUUCUGCAUCCAGCCAACAUGUGGUGAUCCUCUGAGGGAUGGGAAUUUGAGAAGGCAGCUUGCUGGCUUUUGGACUUGUUCUCCCACUUCAUUGUGUUUCUGUGGGCAACUCCCUGGUAAUAAAUGAGCUAUAAUAUCUGAAGAGAAGGACUUAUCUUGCAAUGGUAUUGUUUCAGAUUUACAAAGAGUUCAAUUCUGCUGCUGGUUGUCUUGAAUACAUUAUGUUCUCAGAAGUGCUUUUGUUAGAGUACACUAGUUUUGAAAUGGGUAACAUUUAUCAUAGAAUGUUUUGGGUUGGAACAGACCUUAAAGGUCAUCUAUUUCCAUCCCCCUGCCAUGGGCAGGGACACCUUCCGCUAGAGCAGGUUGCUCCAAGCCCCUGUGUCCAACCUGGCCCUGAGCACUGCCAGGGAUGGGGCAGCCACAGCUUCUCUGGGCACCCUGUGCCAGUGUCCCACUACCCUCAUGGGGAAGAGCUUCUUCUUAAUAUCUUAUCUAAAUCUACCUCUUUCAGUUUAAAGUCAUUCCUCCUUGCCUAUUCCUACCUGCCUUUGUAAAAGCUUUCUUGCUGGCUACUUUAGGUACUGCAAAGCUGCUCUAAGGUCUCCCCAGAGCCUUCUCUGAACAAGCUGAACAAGACCAGGUCUUUCAGUCUGUCUUCAUAGGAGAGGAACACCUCCAGGUGCUUCCUGGACAAAAGAGGGCUCUGAGGAGAGCAACCAUCCAGGUUGUUCCUUAUCCACCAAGUGGCUCAUCUAUUAAAUUGAUGUCUCUCCAGUACAGAGACAAGGAUGUCAUGCAGGACAGUGUCUUAUGCUUUGCAUUAGUCCAGGCAGAUGGCAUCAGAUGCUUUUCCCUUACCCACCAACACUGUAACCCCGUUGUAAAAGGCCACUAUAUUUGUCAGGCACAGUUUGCCCUUAGUGAAGCCCUGUUGGCUGUCAUCAGUCACCUUGUUUUCAGUGUACCUUAGUAUAGUUUCAGGGAGAAUCUUCUCCAUGCUCUUGCCAGGCAGCAAUGUGGGACUGACUGGUCUGUAGUUUGCUGAGUCUCAUUUAUUUUCCCUUUUUAAAAAUGAGGGUUGUGUUUCCCCUUUUCCUCAAGGUACAUAUAGCAGCUUUUCCUGUUGCCCUUGAUGUCCUCGGCCAGAUUUAAUUCCAUCAGGGCUUUAGCUUUCCUAACCUGAUCCCUGGCUGCUCAGACAAUUUCUGUGUACUCUUCCCAGGCAAUACAUUCAUGUUUCCACCCUUGGUAGGCUUCCUUUUUGUGUUUGAGUUUGUCCAGGCCCUCCUUGUUCAUCCACACAAACCUCCUGGUAUUUUUGCUUGACUUCCUCUUUGUUGGGAUACAACACUCCUAAGCUUGCAGGAGGUAUUAUGACAUUUUCCUUUGAAUUCUACGUAUACUAAGAACUGAUGCUGAAAGUUUUCCCUUGAAGAAUCUUUGCUUAAUGUAAAUUUGCUGUCCUGCUUUGCUGAAUGGUUCAGAACACAACAGUAUUUGUAUAGGCUUCUCAGCAGGUGGAUCUCAUUAGGCAGAGAUUUCUUUUACAGUGUUUAUUUCUCACCAAGUGGAAGGCAUUGAUUUAGAUGUAAGAUACUAAGCUUGCAUAAUUACUUAAAAUAAACACGGAGCUGUUACAAGACUGCUCUAAAAUUCAGUUCCUUCCAGAUAUGUGGAAAGUUGAGUGUCACCUGCCCCAAAACAUGCAUGUUUUGAGGCAGUUUGGUGCUGAAAGGUCUCUCUCAUUAAUGCCAAUGCUAGUGAGAAUCAGGCAUAAUCAAUUAGGAAAAAAUGUGAUUGAAGAGUUUUCUUUAGAGGACUGUCUUAAUAUGCAAGAGAUGAAGGAUGCCUCUGGGUAAGCUCUGCCAAUUUAUGCUGGCACAGGUGGGAGCUGUCUGCCUCUUUCUCUUAGAAGUUGCUGCAGGUGGGGCAGUUUGGCUCUUCUGCCAUCUCCAGUGCUUCCCUCCAUGGGCAGGCAUAGCAGUUAAAAA